rnacentral:rRNA from 1 species
GGCCCCUUACCGUGGGGUUGCGGAUCAGUGUCGUGUGGGUCAGUUUGACUGGGCGGUCUCCUCCCAAAGCGUAACGGAGGAGCGACGAAGGUUAGCUAAUCCUGGUCGGACAUCAGGAGGUUAGUGCAAUGGCAUAAGCUAGCUUGACUGCGAGCGUGACGGCGCGAGCAGGUGCGAAAGCAGGUCAUAGUGAUCCGGUGGUUCUGAAUGGAAGGGCCAUCGCUCAACGGAUAAAAGGUACUCCGGGGAUAACAGGCUGAUACCGCCCAAGAGUUCAUAUCGACGGCGGUGUUUGGCACCUCGAUGUCGGCUCAUCACAUCCUGGGGCUGAAGUAGGUCCCAAGGGUAUGGCUGUUCGCCAUUUAAAGUGGUACGCGAGCUGGGUUUAGAACGUCGUGAGACAGUUCGGUCCCUAUCUGCCGUGGGCGCUGGAGAAUUGAGGGGGGGCUGCUCCUAGUAC